GAUCAUGGCUCAGGAUGAACGCUGGCGGCGUGCCUAACACAUGCAAGGUCAACGGGGUACUGGCAGCGGAGAUUCGGUCAAAGCAGCCUUUAACCUAGUGGCGGACGGGUGAGUAACGCGUGGGGAACCUGCCCUGUACUGGGGGAUAACAGUGAGAAAUCACUGCUAAUACCGCAUAAGCGCACAGCAUCGCAUGAUGCAGUGUGAAAAACUGAGGUGGUACAGGAUGGCUCCGCGUUGGAUUAGCCAGUUGCGGGGUAACGGCCCACCAAAGCGACGAUCCAUAGCCGGCCUGAGAGGGUGAACGGCCACAUUGGGACUGAGACACGGCCCAGACUCCUACGGGAGGCAGCAGUGGGGAAUAUUGCACAAUGGGGGAAACCCUGAUGCAAGCGACGCCGCGUGAAGGAAGAAGUAUCUCGGUAUGUAAACUUCUAUCAGCAGGGAAGAUGAUGACGGUACCUGACUAAGAAGCCCCGGCUAACUACGUGCCAGCCGCAGC
rnacentral:rRNA from 1 species